GUGGGGAAUAUUGGGCAAUGGGGGAAACCCUGACCCAGCAACGCCGCGUGAGGGAAGAAGGUUUUCGGAUUGUAAACCUCUGUCCUUGGUGACGAAGGAAGUGACGGUAACCAAGGAGGAAGCCCCGGCUAACUACGUGCCAGCAGCCGCGGUAAUACGUAGGGGGCAAGCGUUGUCCGGAAUGACUUGGCGUAAAGGGCGUGUAGGCGGCCGAUUAAGUCUGGAGUGAAAGUCCUGCUUUCAAGGUGGGAAUUGCUUUGGAGACUGGUUGGCUUGAGUGCGGAAGAGGUAAGUGGAAUUCCCAGUGUAGCGGUGAAAGGCGUAGAGAUUGGGAGGAACACCAGUGGCGAAGGCGACUUACUGGGCCGUAACUGACGCUGAGGCGCGAAAGCGUGGGGAGCGAACAGGAUUAGAAACCCGUGUAGUCC
rnacentral:rRNA from 1 species